rnacentral:rRNA from 1 species
GACCUCGGAUCAGGUAGGGAUACCCGCUGAACUUAAGCAUAUCAAUAAGCGGAGGAAAAGAAACCAACUGGGAUUGCCUCAGUAACGGCGAGUGAAGCGGCAUCAGCUCAGAUUUGAAAUCUGGUUCUUUCAGAGCCCGAGUUGUAAUCUGUAGAGGAGUCUUCGGGUUUGGAUCUGGCCUAAGUUUCUUGGAACAGAACGUCAUAGAGGGUGAGAGUCCCGUAUGAGGCCAGCUACCUAUUCCCAUGUGAAGCUUCUUCGACGAGUCGAGUUGUUUGGGAAUGCAGCUCAAAAUGGGCGGUAAAUUUCAUCUAAAGCUAAAUAUUGGCGGGAGACCGAUAGCGCACAAGUAGAGUGAUCGAAAGAUGAAAAGCACUUUGAAAAGAGAGUUAAACAGUACGUGAAAUUGUUGAAAGGGAAGCGC